rnacentral:rRNA from 1 species
UACGAGGGGGGCUAGUGUUGUUCGGAAUCACUGGGCGUAAAGGGAGCGUAGGCGGGAGCCUAAGUUGGGGGUUUAAUUCCGGGGCCCAACCCCGGGCAUGCACUCAAAACUGGGUUUCUUGAAUAGGGGAGAGGUCGGUGGAAUUGGAGGUGUAGCGGUGGAAUGCGUAGAGAUCUCCAAGAACACCCGUUGCGAAGGCGGCCGACUGGACCCAUAUUGACGCUGAGGCUCGAAAGCAUGGGGAGCAAACAGG